rnacentral:rRNA from 1 species
UAAUUUUUAUGUAAAUUUAAAUGUUAAUCUAAAGAGGUACAGCUCUUUAGACCAAGGAUACAACCUUAAUUAGAGAGUAAAACAUGUUAACAACCAUAGUUGGCCUAAAAGCAGCCACCAAUUAAGAAAGCGUUCAAGCUCAACAAAAUACUUCUACCUUAAUAAUUAAAAACUAAAACAACUCCUAAAUUCACACUGGAUUAAUCUAUAUUGUUAUAGAAGAAAUACUGUUAAUAUGAGUAACAAGAUAAAUUAUCUCCACGCGCAAGUUUAUGUCAGAUCUAAUAAUAACUGAUAGUUAACAGUCAACUAAAUAUAAUCUAAAAUUAAUUAUUUACUCCACUCCACUGUUAACCCAACACAGGAGCGCAAUAUAUUAAAGGAAAGAUUAAAUGAAGUAAAAGGAACUCGGCAAACAUAAACCCCGCCUGUUUACCAAAAACAUCACCUCUAGCAUUACUAGUAUUAGAGGCACUGCCUGCCCAGUGACAUUCGUUAAACGGCCGCGGUAUCCUGACCGUGCAAAGGUAGCAUAAUCAUUUGUUCUUUAAAUAAGGACUUGUAUGAAUGGCCACACGAGGGUUUAACUGUCUCUUACUUCCAAUCAGUGAAAUUGACCUUUCCGUGAAGAGGCGGAAAUAAACAAAUAAGACGAGAAGACCCUAUGGAGCUUUAAUUUAUUUAAUCCAACAAAAUUAUCUUAACCCAAAAGGACCCACUAUAAUUCUAACUGGAUUAAAAAUUUCGGUUGGGGUGACCUCGGAGAAAAAACCAACCUCCGAGAAACUUAUACCAAGACUAACAAGUCUAAGUGAAACAUAUUACUGAUCCAGUCUAACUGAUCAACGGAACAAGUUACCCUAGGGAUAACAGCGCAAUCCUAUUCAAGAGUCCAUAUCGACAAUAGGGUUUACGACCUCGAUGUUGGAUCAGGACAUCCUAAUGGUGCAGCAGCUAUUAAUGGUUCGUUU